GACAUAAAACUAGCCAGUACCAUCAGGAUAUUUCAGAAUUAUACAGAACAUCUCUGAAGCUAUGUGAACUUUCUUUUAAUAAAGCUCAUCUUUUCUAACUACUGCCAGGUCUGAACAGCAGAUGCAGGAUGAUACAGAACCAGGAAUCAAAAGAGCUGAGAGAAACUUCUCACUGCAACAGGAUGGUAAUGAGUGUUCCCAGUUAAUACAGAGACUUAUAACUGGUAAAAUUGUUGAGAAUAAAGGACAUAUUGAAAUGCUUGAUGUGCCAACUGGUGGACAGUCAUGAAUAUGACUCACAAACUGCCUUGCAUCUAGCCAGCACUAUUAACAGAGAAUUAUUAAGAAUACUGCUUCUUCUGAUAGGGUCUCUGCUUGAUUCCCACCUCUAGAUUCCUUCUUGAGUUCAUGGCCUGGCUACCCUAGAUAACUGACUAUAACCUAGAAGCUGAAGUCCUCUCCAAGCUGUUAAAAGGUCAGUGUU